rnacentral:rRNA from 1 species
GCCAGCUGCCAUAUCACCUUACAGCUCAAAGCUGUCAGCCCACUGAAGCUCAGCAGGUGUGAGCCUGGUCAAUACCUGGAUGAGAGGCCUCCUGGGAAAACCUAAGGUUGCUGCUGGAA